AUUUGUGAGGGUGCUGUUUGUGUGUGUGUGUGUGUGUUUGUGAGGGUGCUGUUAGUGUGCUGUGUGUGAGGGUGUUGCGUUUUUUUUAAAGGUGCUGUGUGUGUUUAUGAGGGUGCGGUUAGUGUACUGUGUGUGUGAGCUGUAUGUGUGUAGGUGCUGUAUGUGUGUGCUGUAUGUUUGGAGGGAUUUGGCAGAUUAGUAAAUCCUUGCUGCCAUGUGCCAUCCCUGGUGGUCCAGUGGAGAGUGAACU